CACGUAGGGUGCGAGCGUUGUCCGGAAUUAUUGGGCGUAAAGAGCUCGUAGGCGGUGUGUCGCGUCGGCCGUGAAAACUUGCAGCUUAACUGUGGGCGUGCGGUCGAUACGGGCAUCACUGGAGUUCGGCAGGGGAGACUGGAAUCCUGGUGUAGCGGUGAAAUGCGCAGAUAUCAGGAGGAACACCGGUGGCGAAGGCGGGGUCUCUGGGCCGAUACUGACGCUGGAGGAGCGAAAGCGUGGGGAGCGAACAGG
rnacentral:rRNA from 1 species